ensembl:lncRNA
CAACAUAGCUACAGUGAGAGAUCUCACACAGGAUGUUAAAGGUCAAGAGCAUAACUAAAGCAAACACUGAUCUCCAUGAUGGUGGCGUCAUUUUAACCAAUAAAACAUCAACAUCUGAUCCUCUGUAAUUCUCAGUAACAGCAGGUGUUCAUCACUAAUGCACAACCAUCAUUUAAUUAGUCAUUUAAUUAUCUCAAAUUUAACUCUUUGAGGACCUGGGAUAUUACUUGAAGAUUUGUUUGUGACUUGAAAGUCCCACCUCUGCCUUCUCACAAAUAAUGCUUUGAACACAAAGUUGUAUUUUUACAUCUCCAUGUCUUGCAUGUUCACAUAAACGUGUCAUCAUCCCCUUAUCUCCGUUUAUCAGAGGAACUGGGCGUCUCUGUCACAUUCAUCAGUUCAUGUUAAACAUGUAACCAGGAAAGAAACACUAAAACUCAUCUGAACACAUAUUGAGAGCUUCAGAAGAACUGAAUCUACUAACAACAGAGAAGAUCAUUGAAGAAGAGAGAAGAAUGAAGAUCAUCUGUACUUUCACUCUGCUGAUGAUUCCUGGUGUGUUGAGCUCCAUCAGUGUGACAGGAUAUUCAGGAGGAGGAGUCAGCAUCACAUGCAGAUAUGAUAGAGGAUAUAUAGACAAUGAAAAGUAUUUUUGUAUUGGAGAGCAAGUAACAUGCUCUCAACUCAUCAAGACUAAAGAAAAAAAUAAAUGGGUUAAUUCUGGAAGAUUUUCUCUGUAUGACGACACAAGAGCAGCAGUUUUCACUGUGACCAUCAGAGAUCUGAGUGAACGGGAUUCUGGGACAUACCAGUGUGCAGCUGCUAUCUCUUGGGAUAUAGAUUUUUACACUGAAGUGAAGCUGAACGUUGUAACAGGUGAGUAACUGAGACCCUCACACCCAUGAUCACAACAUCUCAUCAACAUCACAUGCUCAACACUGACUGUAAUUACUGUGGUUUACACAUGUAAUACCUAACAUAAUAAACAACUUCUAAACAGAGGAGAACA